CAGUAGCCGCGGUAAUACGGAGGGUGCAAGCGUUAAUCGGAAUUACUGGGCGUAAAGCGCACGCAGGCGGUCUGUUAAGUCAGAUGUGAAAUCCCCGGGCUCAACCCGGGAACUGCAUUUGAAACUGGCAGGCUUGAGUCUUGUAGAGGGGGGUAGAAUUCCAGGUGUAGCGGUGAAAUGCGUAGAGAUCUGGAGGAAUACCGGUGGCGAAGGCGGCCCCCUGGACAAAGACUGACGCUCAGGUGCGAAAGCGUGGGGAGCAAACAGGAUUAGAUACCCCUGUAGUCCCUGUCUCUUAUAC
rnacentral:rRNA from 1 species